UCUCCGUUGGUGAACCAGCGGAGGGAUCAUUACAGAGUUGCGAAACUCCCUAAACCAUUUGUGAACCUACCCCCAAAACAGUUGCUUCGGCGGCGCCCUAGCCGGCCCGCCGGAGACCGCCAAACGCUUUGUUAAUUUUUGUCAAAUCUGAAUCAAAACUAAGAAAUAAGUUAAAACUUUCAACAACGGAUCUCUUGGUUCUG
rnacentral:misc_RNA from 1 species